rnacentral:rRNA from 1 species
UACGGAGGGUGCAAGCGUUAUCCGGAUUCACUGGGUUUAAAGGGUGCGUAGGCGGGCAGGUAAGUCAGUGGUGAAAAUCCCCCGAGCUUAACUUGGGGAACUGCCGUUGAUACUAUCUGUCUUGAAUACUAUGGAGGUAAGCGGAAUAUGUCAUGUAGCGGUGAAAAUGCUUAGAUAUGACAUAGAACACCAAUUGCGAAGGCAGCUUGCUACACAGUUAUUGACGCUGAGGCACGAAAAGCGUGGGGGAUCAAAACAGG